rnacentral:rRNA from 1 species
UGGAGGCGGCUUGCUGAAGGAAACAAGAUCGUGCACCGUCACAAGCAAGCACUUCUGGCGCUCUCGUAUUGGCGAGGGGUGAGUGUGCAUCCGAGCGUGCCCCCUCGUGGGGAAUAACUACUCACAUCAGUAACUAAUACCGCACCGAUCUGAUGAUGAAAGCGGGGGACCUUCUGGCCUCGCGCGAUUGGAGCGGCCGAUGGCCAAUUAGGCCCUUGGUGGGAUAAAAGCUUACCAAGCCGACGAUCUGUAGCUGGUCUGAUAGGACGACCACCCACACUGGGACUGAGACACGGCCCAAACUCCUACGGGAGGCAGCAGUGGGGAAUUUUGGACAAUGGGCGAAAGCCUGAUCCAGCAAUGCCGCGUGCAGGAUGAAGGCCUUCGGGUUGUAAACUGCUUUUGUACGGAACCAAAAAGCUUCUCCUAAUACGAGAGGCCCAUGACGGUACCGUACCAAUAAGCACCGGCUAACUACGUGCCAGCAGCCGCGGUAAUACGUAGGGUGCGAACGUUAAUCGGAAUUACUGGGCGUAAAGCUUGCGGGGGCGGUUAUGUAAGACAGAUGUUAAAUCCCCGGGCUCAACCUGCCAACUGCAUUUGUGACUGGGUGGCUAGAAUACGGGGGAGGGGGAUGGAAUUCCACAUGUAGGAAUUUACUGCGUAAAUAUGCAAAGGAACACCGAUGGGGAAGACCAUCCCCUGGACCUGUACUGUCUCUCAUGCACAAAAGCGUGGGGAGCAAACAGGAUGAGAUACCCUGGUAAUCCACGCCCUAAAUGAUGUCAAAUGGUUGUUGGGAAUUAGUUUCUCAGUAACGAAGUUAACGCUUAAAGUUGUCCCCCUGGGGAGUACGGCCGCAAGGUUGAAAUUCAAAGGAAUUGACGGGGACCCCCCCAAGCGGUGGAUGAUGUGGUUUAAUUGGAUGCAACGGGAAAAACCUUACCCACCUUUGACAUGUCAGGAAGUUUCCAGAGAUGGAUUCUUGCUUUAAAGGGAACCUGCACCCAGGGGUUCCAGGGCGGUGUUCAGUUCGUUUCGGGAGAUUUGGGUUAAAUUCCCGCAACGAGCCAACCCUUUGUCUUUAGUUCCAACAUUUAGUUGGGCACUCUAAGGGGACUGCCGGUGACAAACCGGAGGAAGGUGGGGAUGACGUCAAGUCCUCAUGCCCCUUAUAGGUGGGGCUACACACGUCAUACAAUGGCUGGUACAGAGGGUUGCCAACCCGCGAGGGGGAGCCAAUCCCAUAAAACCAUUCGUAGUCCGGAUCGCAGUCUGCAACUCGCCUGCGUGAAGUGGGAAUCGCUAGUAAUCGCGGAUCAGCAUGCCGCGGUGAAUACGUUCCCGGGUCUUGUACACACCGCCCGUCACACCAUGGGAAGCUGGGUCUCGCCAGAAGUAGGUAGCAGUAACACUCAACGGAGCGCGCAUCACCGACCGGAUCUCCUAGGCGCU